GCCCAUGCUACACUUGCUUGUGC
rnacentral:siRNA from 1 species